AUUGAACGCUGGCGGCAGGCCUAACACAUGCAAGUCGAACGAGUGGCGGACGGGUGAGUAAUGUCUGGGAAACUGCCCGAUGGAGGGGGAUAACUACUGGAAACGGUAGCUAAUACCGCAUACCAUCGGAUGUGCCCAGAUGGGAUGAGCUAGUAGGUGGGGUAACGUCUCACCUAGGCGACGAUCCCUAGCUGGUCUGAGAGGAUGACCAGCCCAACUGGAACGGAUACAGGGGCCAGACUCCUACGGGAGGAAGCAGUGGGGAAUAUUGGACAAUGGGCGCAAGCCUGAUGCAGCCAUACCGAGUGUAUGAAGAAGGCCUUCGGGUUGUAAAGUACUUUCAGCGAGGAGGCGUUACUCGCAGAAGAAGCACCGGCUAACUCCGUGCCAGCAGCCGCGGUAAUAC
rnacentral:rRNA from 1 species